GACGAACGCUGGCGGCGUGCUUAACACAUGCAAGUCGAACGGAAAGGCCCUGCUUUUGUGGGGUGCUCGAGUGGCGAACGGGUGAGUAACACGUGAGUAACCUGCCCUUGACUUUGGGAUAACUUCAGGAAACUGGGGCUAAUACCGGAUAGGAGCUCCUGCUGCAUGGUGGGGGUUGGAAAGUUUCGGCGGUUGGGGAUGGACUCGCGGCUUAUCAGCUUGUUGGUGGGGUAGUGGCUUACCAAGGCUUUGACGGGUAGCCGGCCUGAGAGGGUGACCGGCCACAUUGGGACUGAGAUACGGCCCAGACUCCUACGGGAGGCAGCAGUGGGGAAUAUUGCACAAUGGGCGGAAGCCUGAUGCAGCAACGCCGCGUGCGGGAUGACGGCCUUCGGGUUGUAAACCGCUUUCGCCUGUGACGAAGCGUGAGUGACGGUAAUGGGUAAAGAAGCACCGGCUAACUACGUGCCAGCGGCCGCGGUGAUACGUAGGGUGCGAGCGUUGUCCGGAUUUAUUGGGCGUAAAGGGCUCGUAGGUGGUUGAUCGCGUCGGAAGUGUAAUCUUGGGGCUUAACCCUGAGCGUGCUUUCGAUACGGGUUGACUUGAGGAAGGUAGGGGAGAAUGGAAUUCCUGGUGGGAGCGGUGGAAUGCGCAGAUAUCAGGAGGAACACCAGUGGCGAAGGCGGUUCUCUGGGCCUUUCCUGACGCUGAGGAGCGAAAGCGUGGGGAGCGAACAGGCUUAGAUACCCUGGUAGUCCACGCUGUAAACGGUGGGUACUAGGUGUGGGGUCCAUUCCACGGGUUCCGUGCCGUAGCUAACGCUUUAAGUACCCCGCCUGGGGAGUACGGCCGCAAGGCUAAAACUCAAAGGAAUUGACGGGGCCCCGCACAAGCGGCGGAGCAUGCGGAUUAAUUCGAUGCAACGCGUAGAACCUUACCUGGGUUUGACAUGGAUCGGGAGUGCUCAGAGAUGGGUGUGCCUCCUUUGGGGUCGGUUCACAGGUGGUGCAUGGCUGUCGUCAGCUCGUGUCGUGAGAUGUUGGGUUAAGUCCCGCAACGAGCGCAACCCUUGUUCACUGUUGCCAGCACGUUAUGGUGGGGACUCAGUGGAGACCGCCGGGGUCAACUCGGAGGAAGGUGGGGAUGACGUCAAGUCAUCAUGCCCCUUAUGUCCAGGGCUUCACGCAUGCUACAAUGGCUGGUACAGAGAGUGGCGAGCCUGUGAGGGUGAGCGAAUCUCGGAAAGCCGGUCUCAGUUCGGAUUGGGGUCUGCAACUCGACCUCAUGAAGUCGGAGUCGCUAGUAAUCGCAGAUCAGCAACGCUGCGGUGAAUACGUUCCCGGG
rnacentral:rRNA from 1 species